GACGAACGCUGGCGGCGUGCCUAAUACAUGCAAGUCGAGCGCAGGAAACUGACGGAACUCUUCGGAGGGAAGGCAGUGGAAUGAGCGGCGGACGGGUGAGUAACACGUAAGGAACCUGCCUCAAGGAUUGGGAUAACUCCGAGAAAUCGGAGCUAAUACCGGAUAGUUCAUCGGACCGCAUGGUCCGUUGAUGAAAGGCGCUUCGGCGUCACCUUGAGAUGGCCUUGCGGUGCAUUAGCUAGUUGGUGGGGUAACGGCCCACCAAGGCGACGAUGCAUAGCCGACCUGAGAGGGUGAUCGGCCACACUGGGACUGAGACACGGCCCAGACUCCUACGGGAGGCAGCAGUAGGGAAUCUUCCACAAUGGAUGAAAGUCUGAUGGAGUAACGCCGCGUGAGUGAUGAAGGUUUUCGGAUCGUAAAACUCUGUUGUAAGGGAAGAACACGUACGAGAGGGAAUGCUCGUACCUUGACGGUACCUUACGAGAAAGCCACGGCUAACUACGUGCCAGCCGCCGCUGUAA
rnacentral:rRNA from 1 species